CAUUUGGUGAUAAGUGCAGUGAUUGUUUUGGAACCAUCCAAAUCAAUGGAAUCCUCUGUUUCAGCCACUGCAUCACUCUCCCCUCGUUUCCCUCCAAACCCAAUACCCAAAACCUUCCAAGUCUUCAGCUUCAAACCUUCGCCACAUUCACCACCACCACCGUCCACCGCCACAAAAACCCGCCACAAAAAACUGCCAAGAUUCACCACCAAGAAGCAGCAGAGCAGCAACAAGAACAAGGUGAAACCAUUCAGAGAACAAGAUGCUUUCCCAUGCUCCUUACCCCUCCACAACAAAAACCCACAAUUCAUUUACAAAGACAUCAAGAGCUUCGCUCGCCAGAACAAGCUCAAGGAAGCUCUCACCAUUUUGGACUACAUGGACCAACAGGGUAUCCCUGUCAACCCCACAACCUUCUCUGCUGUCAUCGCUGCUUGCAUCCGCAUCAAGUCAUUGCAACAAGGAAGGGAAGUUCAUACCCAUAUUCGAAUCAAUGGGCUUGAGAGUAACGUUUUUUUGCGGACAAAGCUGGUUCAUAUGUAUACUUCUUGUGGGUCGUUGGAAGAUGCACGCAAACUGUUUGAUGGGUUGUCAUGUGAGAGUGUUUAUCCCUGGAAUGCUUUGCUCAGAGGGACUGUGAUUUCGGGCAAGAGACGAUGCGGUGAUGUGGUGGAGGCUUAUUCAGAGAUGAGAGCUUUGGGGGUUGAGUUGAAUGUGUAUAGUUUCACCAAUGUUAUUAAGAGCUUUGCGGGCGCGUCGGCGUUUUUUCAGGGAUUGAAGACUCAUGCCCUUUUGGUUAAGAAUGGUUUGGUGGAUAACCCCAUUCUUAGGACUAGUCUGAUUGAUAUGUACUUCAAGUGUGGUAAAGUUAAGCUUGCCCGUCGCGUGUUUGAGGAAAUGUCUGAAAGGGAUGUUGUUGUGUGGGGUGCUAUGCUUGCUGGUUUCGCGCAUAACAGGUUGCAGAGGGAAGUUUUGGAGUAUGUAAGGUGGAUGGUAGAUGAAGGGGUAAAGCCGAAUUCGGUUAUAAUGACAAUUGUUAUUCCUGUCGUUGGGGAAGUUCGUGCGCGGAGGUUGGGUCAGGAGCUUCAUGCUUAUGUGGUGAAGACAAAAUCGUACUCGAAGCAAGUGCCUAUUCAAUCUGCUUUGAUUGACAUGUACAGCAAGUGCGGUGAUCUGAGAUCUGCAAGACAAGUUUUUUAUAGCUCGGCGGAGAGAAAUGUGGUUUGUUGGACGGCUCUGAUGUCAGGUUAUGCUUCCAUUGGCAAACUAGAGCAGGCACUGAGGUCCACUAUUUGGAUGCAGCAAGAAGGGUUCAGGCCUGAUGUUGUGACAAUUGCCACUGUUCUUCCAAUUUGUGCUCAGUUAAGGGCUUUGGAACAAGGGAAGCAGAUUCAUGCUUAUGCUUUGAAACAUUGGUUUCUACCUAAUGUAUCUAUAACUUCUUCGUUAAUGGUAAUGUACUCUAAGUGCGGUGUGAUUGAUUAUUCUGCAAGACUAUUUGAUGUAAUGGAGCAAAGGAAUGUGAUUUCAUGGACAGCUAUGAUUGAUUCAUAUAUGGAAAAUGGGUAUCUGUAUGAAGCACUUGGUGUGAUAAGGUCAAUGCAAUUGUCAAAACAUAGGCCUGACUCAGUUGCCAUAUCAAGGAUGUUGAGUGUUUGUGGUGAACUAAAACUUUCAAAGCUUGGGAAAGAGAUUCAUGGCCAGAUCUUGAGAAGGGACUUUUCAUCAGUCCAUUUUGUUUCUGCAGAACUUAUCAAUAUGUAUGGCGCUUUAGGAGAUGUUAAUAAGGCAAAGCUAGUAUUUGAUGCUGUUCCUGCUAAAGGUUCUAUGACAUGGACUGCUCUAAUAAGGGCCCAUGGAUAUAAUGAGUUGUAUCAAGAUGCAAUUGACCUUUUUGAUCAUAUGCGGUCUAAUGGUUCUUCUCCAAAUCAUUUCACUUUUGAAGUCAUUCUGUUUAUAUGUGACAGAGCUGGAUUUGUUGGUGAUGCUUGUAGAAUCUUCAAUUUAAUACCUAGGUAUAAAAUUAAAGCAUCUAAGGAACAUUUUGCUAUAAUGGUCCGACUUCUUACCCGCUGUGGUAAACUAGAGCAAGCUCAGAGAUUUGUACAAAUGAGUUCUUCCUUAUAGAAGAGGCAACACCACCUUUUCAUUCUGAAAGAUUUUUAUUGUCAAUACAGAACAUGUAACUUUUGGCUCAUAAUCGGACUAACAGAUGCAGGGAAGCAUAAUCUCUGCAAUCAGCAACAAUGAGAAGGCUUCCAAUGAGGAUGUGAUGACUGUGGCCAAACUCAAAAUUUCACCAUGUUCGAACAGCCUCACAUCCAGGACUACUGGACCAGGCCCAGGGCCAACUACUUUUGAUGAUAAUCCUUGUGAUGACAAGACUUGGGUGCAUUUGUUUCAGGUUAUAUAUUAAUAGUCUGGGAAAUAUACAUGUUAGGAAUUUGUGUCCCUUUGUUUAGUACAAGGUUGAAAAGAUUAUUCUUGGUACAAAAUAUUCCCAGGAAAAAUAUUUCUCACAUUUUUGGUGGUUUCCAUUCUUAAAGAGAUGGGUGGGAAAGAAACAUUCCCAUGUUGUGGGAAUGCAAUUUGGAGUGUGAAAGUCCAACGUUGCCCAUGAUUCCUGUGACAAUUCUCAUCUCUCCCCUACUGGCCAAGUUUUCCCUCCAUUCUUCAUCUUUUCUUGUUUUGUAGAGAAAAUCCCUCUUCCAGAGAAGCAGAUCUCAGCUUCCACUCCAGAAUUCAAGCUGGGUGGUUAAAGUGGAGAAAAACAUCAAGAGUUAUUUGCGACCGCCAAGUACCUAUUGAGCUCAAAGGAAAAGUUUUAUCGAACUCAAAGGAAAAUUCUAUUGAACUGCUAUAAGACUGUUGUUGCCUGUGGUAGCAAAUGUUGAGCCUUAACGGGACAACAUGAGAAAAAAGUGAGAGUAAGAGAAAUGAGAAUGUUAAGAAGGAUGAGUGACCACACUAGAAACGAUAAGAUAUGCAAUGAGCGUGUAAAAGGAGAUAUUAACGUGUGGCGCUUAUCAAUGAGAAGCUGAUGGAAAAUUGGUUAAUUUGGUAUGGUUAUAUGCAAAGAAGACUUUUGAGGCAUUAGUGACUAGGGUUCAUAAUAUGGUCCUUAGUCCUGUGAAGAGGAGUAGAGGGAGACAAAAAAAUCAUUUUGGUAGGCAUCCUUUAAUUUGGUGGACAUGUGAUGUAAUUUGUUGGGUUUGUGUAUUCUGCAGUUUUAGGGAGUUUAGGUUUAUUCAUUUGAGAUGUGUAAAACUUCAACUACGUGAUAGUGAAAUAGUUGUUACUUAAAUGUUGGAUUGAGAUAAUUAUAUCAUUUCUGGCGGCUGGUAAAAUUCUCU